AUGGAGCCGCCGCCGCUGACCCGGGAAGUUCCGCCCCUGCCGGCGGCCGCGGCCCCUCCUCUUCCUCUUCAUCAUCAUCUUCAUCAUCCUCAUCAUCUUCAUCUCCUCCUUCUCCUCCUCUUCAUCAUCAUCUUCAUCAUCCUCAUCAUCAUCCUGCUCUUCUCCUCCUUCUCCUCCUUCUCAUCAUCUUCAUCAUCAUCAUCUUCACCUCCUCCUUCUCCUCCUCUUCCUCAUCAUCUUCAUCAUCCUCAUCAUCAUCUUCAUCUCCUCCUUCUCAUCAUCUUCAUCAUCCUCAUCAUCUUCAUCUCCUCCUUCUCCUCCUCUUCCUCUGCAUCAUCAUCUUCAUCAUCUUCAUCCUGCUCUUCUCCCCCUCCUCCUUCUCCCCCUCUUCCUCCUCCUCCUCCUCAUCUUUAUCUUGCUCUUCUCCUCCUCGUCUUCCUCAUCAUCUUCAUCUUCUCCUCUUCCUCCUCUUCCUCUUCAUUAUCAUCUUCUUCAUCCUCAUCCUGCUCUCCUCCUCUUCCUCCUCCUCAUCUUCUUCUCUUCCUCUUCAUCAUCAUCUUCAUCAUCAUCCUGCUCUUCUCCUCCUCGUCUUCCUCGUCAUCUCCUUCUCCUCCUCCUCCUCAUCUUCAUCCUCAUCUUCUCCUCACCCUCUUCAUCAUCAUCUUCAUCCUCAUCCUGCUCUCCUCCUCCUCUUCCUCAUCAUCAUCUUCAUCCUGCUCUUCUCCUCCUCCUCCUCCUCAUCUUCAUCUUUUCCUCCUUCUCCUCCUCCUCAUCUUCCUCCUCAUCUUCCUCCUCAUCAUCAUCUUCAUCCUGCUCUUCUGCUCCUCCUCAUCUUUAUCUCCUCCUCCUCCUCAUCUUCAUCCUCCUCAUCUUCAUCCUCCUCCCAUUCUCCAUCUUCAUCCUCAGCCAGCUUUUCUCCUCCUCCUCCUCCUCUUCAUCUUCACCUUCCUCUCCUCCUCCUCCUCUUCUUCAUCCCCAUCCCGCUCUCCUCUUCCUCCUCUUCAUCUUCAUCCUCCUCUUCAUCCCCACACCACUCUCCUCCUCCUCCUCCUCUUCUUCAUCUCGAUCCCGCUCUCCUCCUCAUCUUCAUCCCCAUCUUCAUCCUCAUCCUUCUCUUCUUCAUCCCCAUCUCUUCCUCCUCCUCUUCAUCUUCAUCCUCCUCUUCCUCAUCCCCAUCCUCGUCUCCUCCUCAUCUUCAUCCCCAUCCCUUCCUCCUCCUCCUCCUCCUCUUCCUCCUCCUCCUCCUCCUCCUCUGGGCAGCUCCGAGUGGGGCACGAGGGAAGCACAAAAGGCGUUGAAGGCCCAAAGAAAUGA
rnacentral:lncRNA from 1 species